rnacentral:rRNA from 1 species
GACGAACGCUGGCGGCGUGCCUAAUACAUGCCAGUUGAGCGCUGAAGGUUGGUACUUGUACCGACUGGAUGAGCAGCGAACGGGUGAGUAACGCGUGGGGAAUCUGCCUUUGAGCGGGGGACAACAUUUGGAAACGAAUGCUAAUACCGCAUAAAAACUUUAAACACAAGUUUUAAGUUUGAAAGAUGCAAUUGCAUCACUCAAAGAUGAUCCCGCGUUGUAUUAGCUAGUUGGUGAGGUAAAGGCUCACCAAGGCGAUGAUACAUAGCCGACCUGAGAGGGUGAUCGGCCACAUUGGGAAUGAGACACGGCCCAAACUCCUACGGGAGGCAGCAGUAGGGAAUCUUCGGCAAUGGACGAAAGUCUGACCGAGCAACGCCGCGUGAGUGAAGAAGGUUUUCGGAUCGUAAAACUCUGUUGGUAGAGAAGAACGUUGGUGAGAGUGGAAAGCUCAUCAAGUGACGGUAACUACCCAGAAAGGGACGGCUAACUACGUG